rnacentral:rRNA from 1 species
AACGAACGCUGGCGGCAUGCCUAACACAUGCAAGUCGAACGAGACCUUCGGGUCUAGUGGCGCACGGGUGCGUAACGCGUGGGAACCUGCCCUUAGGUUCGGAAUAACUCCCCGAAAGGGGUGCUAAUACCGGAUAAUGUCUUCGGACCAAAGAUUUAUCGCCUUUGGAUGGGCCCGCGUUGGAUGAGCUAGUUGGUAGGGUAAAAGCCUACCAAGGCGACGAUCCAUAACUGGUCUGAGAGGAUGAUCAGCCACACUGGUACUGAGACACGGCCCAGACUCCUACGGGAGGGAGCAGUGGGGGAUAUUGGACAAUGGGCGAUAGCCAGAUCCAGCAAUGCCGCGUGAGUGAUGAAGGCCUUAGGGUUGUAAAGCUCUUUUACCCGGGAUGAUAAUGACAGUACCGGGAGAAUAAGCUCCGGCUAACUCCGUG